rnacentral:lncRNA from 1 species
UCGUUUGGAAACUUGGAUAGCAGAUUAAAUGAGAAUUGUUUGGAAACACGGAUAACAAAUUAAAUAUUUUUUUUUAUUUACACAUUUAGCCAUUGCAUUUCUUUCUUAUUUACAAUGAAUUGUUAUUUCUUUUUGCUGAAAAUAAAAGCACAAACUGUAAUAUAUAGUAUACUAGGGUCGGCCCGGGCUACGCCCGGGUUUUUGUUUAAAUUUUAGCUUUAUUAUAUAUUUUGUAUAUUUAUUUUGAUAUAUAUAAAUAUUAUAAUCUAUUAUAAAAUAUAAGUAGCUAUAAAAUUAUAAUUUUUAAAACAUAUUUGUUUUUAAUCAUAUGAAUCUCAAAUUUUUAGUAUCCAA